rnacentral:rRNA from 1 species
AAAAACAUGUCUGUUUGAAAAUCAGAACAGUCUAGCCUGCCCACUGAAUUUUAAAGGGCCGCAGUAUUUUAACUGUGCGAAGGUAGCAUAAUCAUUAGUCUUUUAAUUGGAGACUUGUAUGAACGGUUGGACAAAAAGUUAGCUGUCUUAAUGAUUUAUAUUGAAAUUGACUUUUAAGUGAAGAGGCUUAAAUAACUUUUAAAGACGAUAAGACCCUAUAAAACUUUAUAUUUUUUUAAUUAGAUUUUUAAUUAUUUGUAAAAAGUUUUCUUUUUAAAUAAUAUUUCAUUGGGGUGAUGGAAGUAUAAACUUAACUGCUUAAUUUUUAAAACAGAAAUUUUUGAAUUUAAAUUGAUCCUUUAUAAAGAUAAAAGAAAAAGUUACUUUAGGGAUAACAGCGUUAUUUUUUUUGAGAGUUCUUAUCGACAAAAAAGUUUGCGACCUCGAUGUUGAAUUAAAAUUUCUUUAUAGUGCAGCAGUUAUAAAAGUAGGUCUGUUCGACCUUUAAAAUUUUACAUGAUUUGAGUUCAAACCGGUGUAAGCCAGGUUGGUUUCUAUC